UCAGCUUGCAGGUUGCAUGAGAACAGGAGGCAGGCCAGCUCUGGUCUGAAGCUGUGGUUUGCCAACCCCUGCCACAGACCCAUGAGGCUUUCUUAGAGCCACUGUGCCUAUCCUGGCUGAUGGGACCUUCUGCUUCAGGGGCUCUGUGUCCAGCUGCCAGGAAGCUCAUCUUGGUGACCCACGGCCCCUGCUUACCUGCCUGGUGUCACUGGAGCUGAGAGCAAAACCUGCAGGCAUAACUGGCCCUGACGGAUACACACCAACAGGAUCUGUUCUUUCAAGCCAGUUCCAGGCCUACUUCGCUGCAAAGAUCUCCCCCUAGAAAAGCGACCCCACCUCCCUGGCGUCUCUGCCACUCAGAUGCAUCUUUGAGCAGUCUGCAGGGCGUCGUCCGGCCGGUCCUCAUUUCCUGGAGGGAAGCACCUGCUUGCUCACCAAGGAACGCGUAGAGGCUGUCGCUGCAAGCACUCGGACCGGAUGGCACUGCACCCAUGUCGGAAGGCCCUGCCUCACCCACACUCCCAGGAUGGAUGUGGCCUGGGAAGCUCCUGGGCUUAGGUUAUCCCAGAGAAAGAGGGACCAGUGCUGGGUAAGGAGGGCAAGGGUCAGCAUCAGAGGAGGGGUAAUCCAGGGAACUCAGUGUUGGAGUCUGGCCAACGGUUAUCUCAUUCCUGGAAGGGAGCCUGAAGUCACACGACCAGAUUCCUCCUGAGUGCAUUUUGUACACAGUCCCUUGGGCUCCGGGAGGCCAAGGCCUCUACGGGACUGGUUGCAGCCUGAUCUUGGCCGCCUGGAGCCACCCUCUGGCCCCAAGUGGUCUAGAGUCUGGUCUGACCCCCAAGUAUCUGCACAUCCCUCAAGCCUGCCCCCCAGUCCGGGCGUGGUGGCUCAUGCCUGUAAUCUCAACAGCGGGAGGUUGCGCUGGGAGGAUUGCUUGAUCCUAGGAGGUCAAAGGUGCAGUGAAUUGUGAUCAGGCCACUGCACUCCAGCCUGGGCGACAGAGUGAGACCAACUCUGUCUCA